rnacentral:rRNA from 1 species
UACGUAGGGUGCGAGCGUUGUCCGGAAUUACUGGGCGUAAAGAGCUUGUAGGUGGUUUGUCGCGUUGUUCGUGAAAUCUCACGGCUUAACUGUGAGCGUGCGGGCGAUACGGGCAGACUAGAGUACUGCAGGGGAGACUGGAAUUCCUGGUGUAGCGGUGGAAUGCGCAGAUAUCAGGAGGAACACCGGUGGCGAAGGCGGCUAUCUGGACAGUGACUGACGCUGAGACGCGAAAGCGUGGGGAGCAAACAGG